rnacentral:lncRNA from 1 species
GAGGACACCCAAGGGUCCAAGGUGGUGGAGACCCAGAUGUUGGGGUGGGGACACCCAAGGGCCCAAGGUGGUGGGAUCCCAAAUGUUUGGGUUGAGGACACCCAACGGUCCAAGGUGGUGGAGACCCAAAUGUUUGGGUUGAGGACACCCAAGGGUCUGAGGUUGAGGACACCCAAGUGUCCAAGGUGAUGGAGACCCAAAAAUUUGGGUUGAGGACACCCAAGGGUCCA